rfam:Cucumis sativus cultivar 9930 chromosome 5, whole genome shotgun sequence.
GCCGAGCUCGGUAGUGUGAGCUUGUAACUCGAACGGGGGCAUUAAUGUGGCUGGAGGUUGGUCCAGCUCACCGAGUAGGGUAUUUGCGAGAUAUAUUAUGGCCUGCCCAUUCCAAGUAGAGAGUUGGGCGUUGGGCUUCGAGCGAAGGCUUGGAGAUCAUUGCCACUAGAGACGGAGGAAACCGCGUGAGGCUGGUUUCACAGAGCAGCGUAACCUCCCACUCUUGUCGGUGGAAGGAUUACAGGCCGUUUCUCGGUUGCCCAUCGAAUACUCUGUGGGUAGUUCUCAUCCCAACAUCCACUUUU